ensembl:lncRNA
GAAGUAAAAUAAAUUUGAAAAUGUCAUAUUGAUGACUGAUAAUGGUUUAAUUUAAUUAUAAACCUUUUUAUGAAACUUAAUUUUUGAUUCCUAUUUUUGAAUGAAGUAUUGAUGCAGCGCAAGAAGAUGACAGUCUUGGAAGACUAGUCAAUGAUGACCACAUCUAUCCAAACUGCAAAAUGAAGAGGGUCAUAGCAGAGGGCAAGCCACAUCUUUGUCUUUUUGCUCUGAGAGACAUUAAGGCUGGAGAAGAAAUAACGUAUGACUAUGGAGGAUCUGAUUGGCCUUGGAGAAAACAGGUUUGUAACUCUUGAAUUGUGUGAUGUAGAUUAGUGAAUGUGCAUAUUUGCUUUCAUGAGGAGAUCGGUGAAGGAUUUGUGUUUCUUUUGUGAGAUUUAUUCUGCUACUGGUUUUUUAAUCUGAGUUUUUUUAAAUCAAAUGACAGUGAUUGCUAAUGCUAAUAAGUUUGAAGGGACAAAUACAGGAAAAAAGCCUUUUCUUCAGUACAGGGACAAUAUACUUAAGCUAAAUAACCAGAAGUGUGUUCUGCCACUCUUCAGCUUUCCUUAUUCUUAAUUACAGUAGUAUAUUAGCAGACAUCUGUGCUAAAUUGAAAAUUUAAUAAUCAAAUAUAACUGACUUUUAGUUGUAUACAGAGACUAUUUAAGUUGCAUCAUCAAUUGCAUGUUUCCUGUAUACAUGUACUUCAUAUUGUGACUGAUUCAUACAAGUGUUAAUGCUGAUAUGCUAAAUACAGAUAUUGAAUUCAUUUGUCAGGCUAAAGUGCAAGAAACUGCAUCUGAUACACUGUCAUCAGAGGAGGUUCCCCAGAGUCCUUCCCCCUCCAAGAUGCAGGCUAAAGUGCAAAAUACUGCAGCUGAUACACUGUCAUCAGAGGAGGUUCCUCAGAGCCCUUCGUUCUCCGAGAUGCAGGCUAAAACACAAGAAACUAGCGCUGAUACACUGUCAUCAGAAGAGGUUCCUCAGAGCCCUUCCCUCUCCGAGAUGCAGGCUAAAACACAAGAAACUAGCGCUGAUACACUGUCAUCAGAAGAGGUUCCUCAGAGCCCUUCCCUCUCCGAGAUGCAGGCUAAAACACAAGAAACUAGCGCUGAUACACUGUCAUCAGAGGAGGUUCCUCAGAGCCCUUUGUUCUCCGAGAUGCAGGCUAAAACACAAGAAACGGGCGCUGAUACACUGUCAUCAGAGGAGGUACCUCAGAGCCCUUCCCUCUCCCAUAUGCAGAGUUUACAAGAAGCAGGAGUCUUUCAUUCAAUGAAAACUAUAAAAUCAGAACCGCUUGUGAACUACACUGAUUCUGAUGAUGAGAGUCCAUCCAUAAGUCCUGACCAAUUGAAGUCAACAUGCCAGAUGACAAGACAACUAGAUUUGGAUGAGCACUUUGACUUUACAUCCGAUCCUAGUGAAAAUGCACACGAGGACAGUGACAAUGAGGCAGCAAGUGAGUCAGAGCCACAAGAGAAUGUGGAUGAGGACAAUGACAGUGGAGCAGCAUGUGGGUCAGGGUCACAAGAGAGUGUGGAUGUACUUGACGACAGCAUCAAUGGGGCAGCAUGUAAGUCACAAGAGUGUCUGGUUAAAUGUAAUCAGACUGAAGAUGGCAAGGCUACACUGACGGAUGUCGCCAAGUUUUCAAAAGAAGGAAAUGGGAGAAUGAAGAGGUACAAGCUGUUGAAAGACAUCUGAUGCACUUCAUUACCUCAUGCCGUGUUCCAGGAAAACUUGAAAUUGAUAAGUGUCUUGGGGUUGAAAAUGUGGCGCUGAAAGACAGGGACUGGUUGUCCAUAAAGUUUUAUGUCAAGAACCGUAUAACAGCUUUGAAAAGAAAGGCCUUUGAAACUGGCCUCUGAAACACAGUUCAAUAGUAACUGUUCAAUUGUUUGUCUAAAGCAGCGUUUUUGUUUACAAUGCUGUAACUGAAUAAUUCUUAUAUUUGAAUGACUACCUUUUUUGUUCAUAUUUUUAUAAACAAAUCUUCUAUAUCAGAAUAUGAAUCUGAUCUUUUUUUUUUUUUUACAGAAGUUCAAGGUAAAUACCAGUAACUAAUGUUCAAAUAAAAUUAUGUGGCUUACACA